rnacentral:rRNA from 1 species
UACGUAGGGUGCGAGCGUUAAUCGGAAUUACUGGGCGUAAAGCGUGCGCAGGCGGUUUUGCAAGCCGGAUGUGAAAUCCCCGGGCUCAACCUGGGAAUGGCAUUCGGGACUGCAAGGCUGGAGUGCGGCAGAGGAGACUGGAAUUCCUGGUGUAGCAGUGAAAUGCGUAGAUAUCAGGGGGAAUACCGAUGGCGAAGGCAGGUCUCUGGGCUGACACUGACGCUCAUGCACGAAAGCGUGGGGAGCAAACAGG